rnacentral:rRNA from 1 species
UACGUAGGACCCAAGCGUUAUCCGGAGUGACUGGGCGUAAAGAGUUGCGUAGGUGGUUUGUAAAGUGAAUAGUGAAGUCUGGCGGCUCAACCGUACAGGCUAUUAUUCAAACUCACAAACUCGAGAAUGGUAGAGGUAACUGGAAUUUCUUGUGUAGGAGUGAAAUCCGUAGAUAUAAGAAGGAACACCAAUGGCGUAGGCAGGUUACUGGACCAUUUCUGACACUGAGGCACGAAAGCGUGGGGAGCGAACCGG